rnacentral:rRNA from 1 species
UGUAAAGUUCAAGCUCCGAUUAUGAGGGCGAAACCGCGAAUGGCUCAUUAAAUCAGUCAUAAUCUACUUGAUUGUUUAAAGUUUACAUGGAUAACUGUGGUAAUUCUAGAGCUAAUACAUGCACAAAGAGGACGAAUCUGCAGCAAUGUGGACAAGUUCUGCGUUUAUUAGACUAAGACCAAUGGAUUGCUUCGGCAAUUCCUUGUUUUGGUGACUCUGAGUAAAUAAUGGGUGAAAGCCCAUGGUGCUGACCUGACAUACCAAAAGGCUCGCAAGAGUCUGUCAGGCAAAUCAAUCGAGUGUCUGCUCUAUCAACUGUGGAUGGUAGGGUAAUUGCCUACCAUGGUUAUGACGGGUAACGGGGAGUUAGGGCUCGACUCCGGAGAACAAGCCUGAGAAACGGCUAGUAGGACUAAGGUCUGCAGCAGGCGCGAAACUUACACAAUGCUAGAUUACCAAUAGCGAUGUAGUGAAGAAAAAUAACGAUGUACUUGCUUUCAAAAAGGCUAGUACAAUUGGAAUGAGACGACUUUAAACCGGUCAGUCGAGUAACAAAUGGAGGGCAAGUCUGGUGCCAGCAGCCGCGGUAAUUCCAGCUCCAUUAGCAUACAUUAAAGUUGUUGCGGUUAAAAAGCUCGUAGUUGAAUUUUAGGCGAGCUCUAUUGGGGCGCAGCCGUCAAGGCUUGCCUUCGGGUAAGCUGGUUGUGCUAUUCCAUUAGGAACUCGUUGUUUCGUCACUUAAUCGAGUGCGAAGCGGGCUGGUAUAUGACACUCCGGUGUCCGUAUAACAGCAUGUUUACCUUGAGAAAAUUAGAGUGCUCAGAGCAGGCAGCUUGGGUGUAAAAGCCCAUUUAUGCUUGAAUAAUGUUGCAUGGAAUAAUAGAAUACGGCCUCGGUUCUAUUCUGUUGGUCUUAUAGAACAACAAAUAAGUUGGUUAGGGCGACAAAAAGUCUGCCUAGAGUGUGGCACUUUGUGUACUGUUGUCUGGGGCCUAAAAAUCUCAGUACCUUGCGCACUUUGUCAUUAAAGCACUCUUUGUAUGGCUAGCUCUUCAAUCAACUGAGGCAAUGGUUAAAAGAAAUAGUCGCGGCGGCAUCAGUACUGCAUCGUGAGAGGUGAAAUUCUUAGACCGAUGCAAGACUAACUGAAGCGAAAGCGUUUGCCGAGGAUAUUUUCAUUAAUCAAGAACGAAAGUUAGAGGUUCGAAGGCGAUCAGAUACCGCCCUAGUUCUAACCAUAAACGUUGCCAACUAGCAAUUGGGUUGCGAUUCCUUUAACCAGAGCGUAAAACCUCUGGUCAUUAUGAUCCACCCAGCGGCUCUCGUAGGGAAACCAAAGUGUUUGGGUUCCGGGGGAAGUAUGAUUGCAAAGUUGAAACUUAAAGGAAUUGACGGAAGGGCACCACCAGGAGUGGAGCCUGCGGCUUAAUUUGACUCAACACGGGAAAACUUACUAGAUUAGAACUCUGGAAUGAUUGACAGAUUGAUAGCUCUUUCUUGAUUCAGAGGAUGGUGGUGCAUGGCCGUUCUUGAUUCGUAUUCCGAAACGUCUGCUUAAUUGCGAUAACGAGUGAGACCUCACCCAACUAACUAGUCGUUAGAUGCGCUAGGGACGCAAAAGUCUUUUCAGGGUUCGGUUGUAAGUGCUGGCUUCGGUUAGUAACUGCAACUACCUGUUGAGAUGUCCUCUGCUCGUCUGCGGACUUCUUAGAGGGAUAAACGGUGUUUUAGCCGUAAGAAACGAGGCAAUAACAGGUCUGUGAUGCCCUUAGAUAUUCUAGGCCGCACGCGUGCUACAAUGGCGUGUGCAGAAAGCUUGUUCGAGGUUCGUCUGAGGAAAAACUAGCUGUUUGUGCUGGCAUAUGGGGCAACUUGUGUGUUAGUCGACAGCCAAGUAGCCUUUGUUUACGAGCCGAGAGAAACCGCAGCCGAAAGGUUGCGGCAACCAUAAAUACACGCCGUGAUUUGGGAUUGGGGAUUGCAAUUGUUGCCCAUGAACGAGGAAUUCCCAGUAAGCGCAAUUCAUCAUAUUGCGUUGAUUACGUCCCUGCCCUUUGUACACACCGCCCGUCGCUACUACCGAUUGGAAGUUUUAGUGAGGCAUCCGGACUUGCCGGCCACGGGGGGCAACUCUCAGGUUGGCGGGGAAGUUUGUCGAACUCAAAUUUCUAGAGGAAGUAAAAGUCGUAACAAGGUUUCCGU